rnacentral:rRNA from 1 species
UGGGGAAUAUUGCACAAUGGGCGCAAGCCUGAUGCAGCCAUGCCGCGUGUGUGAAGAAGGCCUUCGGGUUGUAAAGCACUUUCAGCGGGGAGGAAGGCGAUAAGGUUAAUAACCUUGUCGAUUGACGUUACCCGCAGAAGAAGCACCGGCUAACUCCGUGCCAGCAGCCGCGGUAAUACGGAGGGUGCAAGCGUUAAUCGGAAUUACUGGGCGUAAAGCGCACGCAGGCGGUCUGUCAAGUCGGAUGUGAAAUCCCCGGGCUCAACCUGGGAACUGCAUUCGAAACUGGCAGGCUAGAGUCUUGUAGAGGGGGGUAGAAUUCCAGGUGUAGCGAUGAAAUGCGUAGAGAUGUGGAGGAAUACCGGUGGCGAAGGCGGCCCCCUGGACAAAGACUGACGCUCAGGUGCGAAAGCGUGGGGAGCAAACAGG